AAACAACUCGCCUCCUUCUGUUGGAUCCCUCCGCCACUGAAGACUCUGCUGCCGAUGACGCUGGGGACCCUCCACGCCUAUGCCAGGGACCCCCGCCUGCCCCUAUGGACAGAACUGCUUCUGGUAUAAUAGGCUAUGAGCUCACUCCAGGGGCAGAUGGCAUCUCCACCUUCUAGUAAUCCACAUAGCGGACCCAGUAAAUCUGCUUCCA